GAAUUAUCCUGAUCUGAGGCAAGUUAGCUGGACUUUUACACUCCCUAUCAGUCAUUCCUUGACUCUGGAGGGUAUAAUCCCCAGUGGAGGUGACUCCUGUCAGUUUAGAGCAGUUGUUCUCAAUGUACGGUCCCCAGACCAGCACAUCAGCAUCACCAGGGAACUCGUUAGAAAUGAUAGUUUCUUGGACCUCAGCCCAGACCUGCUGAAUCAGAAACUCUGGGGGUGGGGCCGAGUGAUCUGUAGUUUUAACAAGCUCCUCAGGUGAUUCUGAUACACAGCAAAGUCUGAGCACCACUGGCUGAGAGCACAUCUCCAGAGGAGAAAGCUGUGAUCCCUUAGCAGCUGAUCUCAAGCAGUGUUGCUUCAACAGCCCUGUGACAGGAAUCAACGUGGUCUGCCCACAGCACCCUCUACGUGUGUCGUAUGCUUCGGUUGUACGACAAUACCAUGUCUCACUCUACUUCGUUCAAGUGUCAAAUGCCACCUUACUAGAGAGAGACUCCUUCCUUGAUGACUGUAUGCCUUCUUGCAAAGCAAAUUCUACACCUCAUUUCACCUACAUUUGCCCAAGCACAGAAAGGGUGAGCCAAGGAGAUGGGCAGAGGGAGAGAGACAAAGAAUCCCAAGAAUUCAGUGCUAUAUUGAAUAGGAGUGGUAAUGGCAGAGAGAACCGCCUUCUUUUUCAAAGACAGAGGAGGACUUGUUCAGCAAGAGGAAAAGGCAACAUAGCAGUCUCUGAAGGGGUACGUUGAGUGCACCUGUGAUUGCUGCUCCUAUCAAUUGUUCUCCUCUCAUCAGAAGAUGCCAAAGAAACACAACAUGUGCAUGUCACAGGGAGAGUAAGUUUAAAGCAGAAGCUAACCUAACUGCCUGGAAAAAACAUCUUCAAAAGAGAAGAUCAUUUGAUUUAUACGUUUUGUGGUCUGAAAGUCCAAAAGGACCAGGGCUUAGCAUAGCAGUAUUUUCCUCAGUCUGCUGCAGGUGACCUUAGUAGAAAAGUCAGAGAGCUACCUCCAUCUCUGUCUGCCAUGUGAGAACACAAGGAGAACUCAGAAGUCUACAGAUAAAAAAAGAAGUCACCAUGCUGACAACCUGAUAUCUGAGUUCCAGCCUCCACAACUUGAGAAGUACUUUCUGUUCGUAAGUCCUCCAGUCUAUGGUAUAUGGAUAGAGCAGCUAAAAUUAAGAUGCUUUAUCCAGGAAUUAUUUGCAUGGACUCUGCAGUGUGAAGAGCUGGCUGUGAAUACAUGAAGGGAUAAAGGUUGCUGAAGAAGUUAGACAAAUAAAAUGACUAGACAGGACAAUUUGAAUGUGAAGUGCCUCUAGAAAGAAGUGACAAAUGGCAUCAUAAUGCAGUGCUUUGAACUACUCCAGAAUAUAAAAUUAACCCUCAGAAAGUGUUCUGAAUGUAUAAAACUAACACUGGUAUCAGAAGUAGUGGGUGAUAGCAAACCUUACACACUUCAUCAAAAUAGAUUCUGGAGGAGACAUGGAAUAAAAUGCAACAAUCUUCUUAACAGCUUUGAGUUAUAUUAUUAUAAAAAAGUAAAAGAAUUAAUUCUUUAUCUUUUGACAACACCGUAUGUAAAAGCACCAAGAGAAGAAACAUUGUACAUCCCGUUCCUGUAAGAAUAGGUUGUCCAUGAGAUUAUAAGAAUGAGAAGAUUUAUGUUCACCCAACACCACAUCUCCUGACACCCAUCUCACUUCUGAUGCAGCAAUGUCAGGUCACAUUUUGCAAGCAGAUCAUCCACAACUUGUUAAAAUGUACUCCACUCCUGCUGGGGAUCAAACAUUACCCACAACAAGGCAUAAGUCUUAAGGAACUUAGUGACUCCAUCAACUGUAAAACAUUUGUAUUAUAGGGAUCUCAGAAGAAGAAGAGAGAUAAAGUGGGCAGAAAUUUUGAAAAAAACUGAAAACUUUUGUAAUAGGGGGAAGGAAAUAGAUAUCCAGCUUGGAGGCACAGAGAUCCCCCACAAAAAAUUCAUCCCAGGGAAGUCCACACCCAAGCCCCAUAGUAAUUAAUAUGGCAAAAAGUAGAGAUUAAAGAAAGCAGUUACAUACAAGAGAAACCCCAUAAGGCUCUCAGUGGAUUUUUCAGCAGAAAUUUUGCAGGCCAGGGGGAAUGGCAUGAUAUAUUCAAAAUGCUGAAAGGGAAAAAUCUGCAGCCAAGAAAACUCUAUCCAGAAAGGCUAUCAUUAGGAAUAGAAGGACAUAUAAAUAUUGUUUCUCAAAGAAAAACUAAAAAUUCAUGACCACUAAACCACCCCUAUAAGAAAUAUUAAAGGAGACUCUUUAGGUAAAAUAAGACCAUAAGUGAGAGUAUUAAAAUUAAAAAAAAAACAUUAAAAAUAAAUAUUUUGAUAAAAAUCAGGGGAUUCACAAAAUAAAAAGAUGUAAAAUACGACACCAUGUAUCUAAAGCAUGGCAGAAGAGGAAUAAAAAUGGUUUCAAACUUAAGCAACCACCUACUUCAUAUAGACUGCUAUAUACAGAAGAUUUUGUAUACAAACCUAACGGUAACCACAUAUCAAAAACCACUAAUGCAUAUGCAAAAAAAUAAAAGGAAUCUGUAUCACUAAAGAAAGCCAACAAGCCAUGAAAGAGAACAAGAAAGGAUCAGAGAAAAAACACAAAACAAGUAAAAAAUAGCAAUAAAUAUUUAUCAAGAAUUACUUUGCAUGAAAAUGGCCUAAAUGCUCCCAUCAAAAGGACAGGGGGUGACAGAAUGGAUAAGAAAACAAGACCCACCUAUCUGUUGCCUGCAUGAGACUCAUGUCAGACUGAAAGUGAGGGGAUGGAGAAAAAUUUAUAAUGCAAACUGAUAAGAAAUUUGGGGCAGUAAUAGUUAUAUCAGACAAGAUAGACUUUAAAACAAAGACUGUAACCUGAGGGAAAGAAGGACACUAUAUAAUUAUAAAGGGAACAAUCUAAGGAGAAGCAAUAAUUGUAAAUAUUUAUGCACCCAACAUGAUAGCACUCAAGUGCAUGAAACAAACAUAAUGGCAAUGAUCGAUAGUAAUAUAAUAAUAGUAGGGGACUUUAACACCCCACUUAACAUGAAUGGACAGAUCAUCCAAACAGAAAAUCAACAAGGAAAUAGUUUUGAUUGGGCAAGAUGGAUUUAACAGACAAAUACAGAACAUUCCACCCUAAAACAGCAAAAUAAACAUUAUUUUUAAGUGUACAAAGAAUAUAUUAGGCCACAAAACAAGUCUCAACAUAUUUUUAAAAAGCUGAAGUCAGGGGGCACCUGGCUGGCUCAGUCGGUUGAGCAUCUGACUUUGGCUCAGGUCAUGAUUUUGCGGUUCAUGAGUACAAGCCCUGCAUUGGGCUGAUGGCUCAGAGCCUGGAGCCUGCUUCAGAUCCUGUCUCCCUCUCUCUCUCUCUCAAAAAUAAAUAAACAUUUAAAAAAAUUAAAAAUGUUGAAGUCAUACCACACAUCUUUUCUGAACACAAUCCUAUGAAACUAGGAAUCAAGCACAAGAAAAAAAUCUGGAUAGAGCAGAAAAAAUACAUGAAGAUUUAAUAACAUGCUACUGAAUAAUGAAUUUGCCAACCAAGAAAUCAAAGAAGAAAUAAAGACAAAUGACAAACACAAUGGUCCAAAUCUUUGGGAUUCAGCAAAAAUAGUUCUAUGAAGGAAAUUCAGAGCAAUAUAGUACUACUCAAGAAGAGGGAAAAAAAAAAAGCCAAAAACAAAACACCUAACCUUA